GGAUGAUUGAUUGGGGCUGCUCCUAGUACGAGAGGACCGGAGUGGACGCAUCACUGGUGUUCCAGUUGUCUCGCCAGAGGCAUUGCUGGGUAGCUAAGUGCGGAAGAGAUAAGUGCUGAAAGCAUCUAAGCACGAAACUUGCCAAGAGAUGAGUCAUCCCUGACUUUAAGUCAGUAAGGGUUGUUGUAGACUACGACGUAGAUAGGUCAGGUGUGUAAGUGUAGU
rnacentral:rRNA from 1 species